rnacentral:misc_RNA from 1 species
GAUGAAGAACGUAGCGAAAUGCGAUACGUAAUGUGAAUUGCAAAUUCAGUGAAUCAUCGAGUCUUUGAACGCAUAUUGCGCCCCCUGGUAUUCCGUGGGGCAUGCCUGUCCGAGCGUCAUUGCUGCCCUCAAGCACGGCUUGUGUGUUGGGCCCCGUCCUCCGAUCCCGGGGGACGGGCCCGAAAGGCAGCGGCGGCACCGCGUCCGGUCCUCGAGCGUAUGGGGCUUUGUCACCCGCUCUGUAGGCCCGGCCGGCGCUUGCCGAUCAACCCAAAUUUUUUAUCCAGGUUGACCUCGGAUCAGGUAGGGAUACCCGCUGAACUUAAGCAUAUCAAUAAGCGGAGGA